GAAUUUUCUCUUUUCUUCCCUUCUCCUCCCCCCUUCCCCCCCCUUCUCUCCUUCUCCUUCCUUCAUCUUUCCCUUCCCUUCCCUUCCCUUCCCUGUUGCCUGCACCCUCCAGCCGCUGACAUCGCCUCUUUCCUUCCCCUCCCUCGCCGCGCCACUCGCCUUCUUCCCUCUCCCCCGUCACUGCCGACGUCAACGCAGGAAGGAGGAGCUGCCGCCGCCGAACCAGCCAUUUAUCGCUGUCCUUUCACCAAGACGAUGCUGGAAACGAGCUCCCUGCCGUCGAAAACCCCAGAGCCGAGCUUCCCAUGCCGUUUUUCAUCAUCGGCAGCCUCGGUGAAGCCUCACCAGAGCAGCGUCUUUCCGGCCUCGAUCCAGUAGGUUCUGACGAGUUUCCGGCCAAAGCUUUUGCAUUUUCGGACUCCACACAGCUCAAGCUUCGUGUAGGCGCUUCGAGAUUCGAAUUCCAACACCGUUGGCAGUACCGGCUUUCGGACCCCAAUAUUUUUCAGACGCCCAUAAUUUUGGAUUUUUAGUUCGAUAUAAUUUUAUUUAGACCUUACAAAUUAUUUUAUAAUUUUAAAAAAUAUUAUUGCUAUUAAUUAUCAGUUGUAGAUAAUUUAACUUAAUUAGAUUUAAUUAAUUAUGACUUAGAUAUAAACAUUACAAAUUAAUUGAUAUGAUUAAUUAUUAUUCUGUUUUUUGGUAGAUGUGGUUGUAUUGAAUUAGUUUAAAUACUAUAAAAUUUUAUGUGUGUUGGUUGUCGAAAUAAAUAUAAUGUUGACCGUCUGUAAAAUAAUUAUGAUCUGUGGUGUGUUGUAGAGUCGGGAAAAAUAAUAUAGUUUUGGUGGCCCGAAUUUCGUUAAUUAAUUGUAGAAUAUUUAAAGUAUUUCUAGCUGGUUUUUGACCCGUUAUACGGGAGGGAGGGAGGAGGGGUAAAUGUCCAUAUUUUAUAAGAGGUUCUGUCGAAUUUUUGACAAAAUCUACUGAAUUUUCUUAGGCAGUCUAAUCUAGGAGUCUAACCCUAGGAAAAAUUAAGAAUAUUUUAUUAACUGAUUAUUUUCGUGAAUAGAUAAUCCGUCCAUCCAGCCAGCACCACCCGUGGCGUAGGAGCAGACUGCAGAGCACCGCAGAACU
rnacentral:lncRNA from 1 species